rnacentral:rRNA from 1 species
UACGUAGGGAGCGAGCGUUGUCCGGAAUCAUUGGGCGUAAGGAGCAUGUAGGUGGAUCAAUUAGUCUGCUGUGAAAGUCAAAGGCUCAACCUUUGAAAGCCGGUGGAUACUGUUGAUCUAGAGUACGGAAGAGGCGAGUGGAAUUCCUGGUGUAGCGGUGGAAUGCGCAGAUAUCAGGAGGAACACCAAUAGCGAAGGCAGCUCGCUGGGACGUUACUGACACUGAGAUGCGAAAGCGUGGGGAGCAAACAGG